UAAGGAAUAUUGCUCAAUGGCCGAAAGGCUGAAGCAGCAACGCCGCGUGAGGGAUGAAGGGCUUUUGCUUGUAAACCUCUGUAGUGAGGGAAAAAACUUCCGCUCUGCGGAACGUGAUGGUACCUCAAAAGUAAGCCCCGGCUAACUACGUGCCAGCAGCCGCGGUAAUACGUAGGGGGCAAACGUUGUCCGGAUUUACUGGGUGUAAAGGGUGCUCAGGCGGUUUUGUAAGUCAGGGGUGAAAUCCCGGAGCUUAACUCCGGAACUGCCUUUGAUACUGCAAGGCUUGAGUACGGAAGAGGCGGAUGGAAUUCCUGGUGUAGCAGUGAAAUGCGUAGAUAUCAGGAGGAACACCGGUGGCGAAGGCGGUCCGCUGGUCCGUUACUGACGCUAAAGCACGAAAGC
rnacentral:rRNA from 1 species